GACGAACGCUGGCGGCGUGCUUAACACAUGCAAGUCGAACGGAAAGGCCCUGCUUUUGUGGGGUGCUCGAGUGGCGAACGGGUGAGUAACACGUGAGUAACCUGCCCUUGACUUUGGGAUAACUUCAGGAAACUGGGGCUAAUACCGGAUAGGAGCUCCUGCUUCAUGGUGGGGGUUGGAAAGUUUCGGCGGUUGGGGAUGGACUCGCGGCUUAUCAGCUUGUUGGUGGGGUAGUGGCUUACCAAGGCUUUGACGGGUAGCCGGCCUGAGAGGGUGACCGGCCACAUUGGGACUGAGAUACGGCCCAGACUCCUACGGGAGGCAGCAGUGGGGAAUAUUGCACAAUGGGCGGAAGCCUGAUGCAGCAACGCCGCGUGCGGGACGACGGCCUUCGGGUUGUAAACCGCUUUCGCCUGUGACGAAGCGUGAGUGACGGUAAUGGGUAAAGAAGCACCGGCUAACUACGUGCCAGCCGCCGCAGUAAAAC
rnacentral:rRNA from 1 species